UACGUAGGGACCAAGCGUUGUUCGGAUUUACUGGGCGUAAAGGGCGCGUAGGCGGUCGUGACAAGUCACUUGUGAAAUCUCCGGGCUUAACUCGGAACGGUCAAGUGAUACUGUCGGACUAGAGUACAGAAGGGGCAACUGGAAUUCUCGGUGUAGCGGUGAAAAUGCGUAGAUAUCGAGAGGAACACCUGGCGGCGAAGGCGGGUUGCUGGGCUGAUAACUGA
rnacentral:rRNA from 1 species